rnacentral:lncRNA from 1 species
AUCAUUAUCAGAGUCAAACAUUCCCAGGCUAACUGACUAUGGUGUGUGCUCUGCAAUCUUCCCGAGCUCCUCUUUCGCAAACCGAGUACCUGAAACCAAAACUGAAAACCGUAAGCACGAAGCUUAGUGAGCUCCCCCAAUCUACCACAUACCACACAAAAACAUAUAAAGCACAUAUUGGGCCUUGCCCACUGCAUCAGACCGAAGUCCGGAAACUGACUGGGACCUUGUCCCCUGCAUCGGACCGAAGUCCGGGCUAACUGGGGCCUUGCCCCCUGCAUCGGACCGAAGUCCGGACUAACUGAACAGAACAUAACAUAAACAUAUCAACUAGCAUGAACACACGUAUACUGCAUACUACUUCGGGCCGUAGCCCGGAACACAUAACACAUAAAUCCUGUCUGAGCCACGAAGGCAUCAAACAUACUAACUACUAUAUCAGAUCAACAUCCGAAAACUACUGCUAGCUAAACGGGCCGGCAUUGUGGCCUUAGACCCGUUCCUACUGGAAGGAAACUCACCUGAACUGCUGAGCCCUGCUGAUAAACCUCUGGCUGCUACUCGACAAUCCCCUGAACCGCUGCUCCUCUAGCUCUCCGAGCUAUCAAUAUACAUAUAACACUUAGUCUGACAGUCAACUAAGUCAACUCUGGUCAAAGUCAACCUUCCAGGUCAACCUUACUCGCCGAGUCUUCCUAAAGACUCGCCGAGUUCAUAAGCUCAGGGUCUUUCUUAUUCGCGACCCGACUCGCCGAGUCAGUCCAUGACUCGCCGAGUCCAACUAGUUCCAAGUCCUGUCCUGUCCAACUCGCUGAGUCACCACCCGACUCACUGAUUCGAGUCUCAACUCAAAGGGUUUAGGGUUUCGCGAUCUGACUCGCCGAGUCCAAGAACAGACUCGCCGAGUCCUAGACAAUCUUCAACCAACUCGUCGAGUUGUUCAUCCAACUCGCCGAGUCCAUGCCUAACUUCAUCCGACUCGACGAGCUGUUCAUCCUACUCGUCGAGUUCCUCCUCAUCUUCAAGCUACUCGCCGAGUCCACUCGAAGGACUCGCCGAGUCUAUCCAGUCCUCAAUCCAUGCAGUGGCUUUUCGAGCCAAACAGAGCUUCCAACUCAUAGAUCUAUACUUCUAGGGCCUAUUCCCCACGUAAAGUGGCAAACUUUACGUGUAGAUUGAGAGAUCUAUGCUCAAAACACACUAAACUAGGGUUUAUGGCAAACAUGCCUCUUCAACAUACCAAGGGCUGAUACUUUAGGGGAUUCAAGACCAAAACCAACAUGGAUCUGAGGUAGCAACCUCAGAUCUGAACCUCCAACUCGAAUUGGUUACAUAUCAUACCAAUAAUGACCAAAACUCACACAUAAGAAUAGAUCUAGAUGCAAAGGGAGUCCAAGCAACAGCUUAUUACCUCCAAUUGGUCUGAAAUGACUCCUCAAUCCCAGAUCUACAGUCCCUUCUUGCACCUCCAAGGUCUUUCUUCCUCCUCCAAGCUUUAGUGCACUCUUCAAGGCAAGAUCUAGCUCAAAAACGGAUAUGGCGGCUAGGGUUUGGUGUUCUGAGGUAGAAAGGCAGUAAAGGAACCCUAGGAAAGAGAAUGAGACGCUUAAAUAGGCUCCAAGUCCCGGAUUUAGGGUUUUCCUCGAUCAGACCCAACUCGUCGAGUCUCCUUGGCCGACUCGCCGAGUCGGUCGCUUUCACCACAACCCGGAUCCCGCUCGGACUCGCCGAGUCCCUCCAUGGACUCGCCGAGUCUCCCCUAAACUUGAGGUUUUCUUUCUUUUCUUGGCUUUCCAAACUUUGGGGUGUUACAACUCUCCCCCACUUAAACUAAACUUCGUCCUCGAAGUUUGCUAUGAUCAACUGCCUGCGAACUGCCUCCAACUCUCUGUCUGGAAAAUCUAACACCCUUUUGUCCGACACUCCAGCCACUCACCAUGUCGAUCAUUACCGAUGGAACAUACUGGAUCCUUCUCUUUUCCAUAAUUUCCUCAACGUUACAUCCUCCGACUGAAAAUCCUGCUGCCUCCCAUCCGCCUACCGGAUGCACUGAGACUAUUCUGGUCUAACCAAUCUCCCGAUAUCUGAGUUACCGGACUCCCACCGGUCACUACACUCCAUCGCAAACUCCUAGUCUCUUCCAGCGACUCCUGAAGAUACUUCGACUAUCUAUAACUGUUCUAUCCAUUCUGCCGCUCAUACAGAAACGAUGCUGCUGGAACCAGCUUGCUUUUAUCCCACCUGAUUACUCAUCUCCUACUAACUCGAGCCUUCCCUCCUGAAUGAAAAGCUACCUGCCUAGCUAUCCUUACAGAUCACUUAUACUCGGCAAAAGGCUCAACUGAUCCUGCUGAGAGGUACUUGCCAUUUCCAAAUCAACCAACUAUACCGUCAGCACUUGCAUUCCAACACAAAUACACUACUGACCCAAAACCCUGAACCUUCCAAACACUGAACUGCCUGCAAUAAUGAACAUGCCUGAAACACUAAACUGCUUGAAACGCUGAGCUGCCUGAAACACUGAACUGGCUGAAACACUGAGCUGCCUGAAACACUGAACUCCAACCCAACUGUGGAGUCAAGGGACUCCUCACUUAGUCGCUUCCACGACUCCUGAACGAAAUCUUCCUCUAGGACUAGUUUCCACUAGUUAUCCUGUCACUGUGGCUCUAGCAACCUUCCGAUCCAACCGAUCGGGUCCAUAUGUCACAUCCUGACAUCAUCAAUUCCACGACUAACAUCAUGAUGGCUCCCAGACUGACGGUAGCCCUUAACAUACCCGAACCCCAACGGUCCACUACUACUCUGAUCUCAUAACUGAUGCAACGUUCUAUAGCCAAAAUUGCUGACUUAGCCAUCACUGAACCAUUUGGGAAAUCCGAAAUCUAACCCGUGGAUUCCCAUAUCCUCACUGCUGCACUAGAACUGGUGGGUACUACUACUUUUCCGCGUCCAACACGCGCUCAUGCCACCUACCAAUCUGAUAAAGGCUGCGACUACGCUCGCGGACUUACAACUCUCUAGUACUAUAUGGCUACUAGUGAAUGCUACGGCUACCCCCGCAGACUUACAACACCACUACUACUACUCUAUCCCGAGGACAUCCUGACUAUCCCUAGUUCCGCUAGUGAUUCCUCAUCCCGAUUUCUCAAACCAGUCCUCAGUCUUUGAAUUCUGCAUCAUCCUCGACAUCUUAUAUCCUUGAUAUACUUAGCGCUUCGUCGAGGAAUUCUUCGGCUUGGUUCCCAAACCAACCGUCUACUAAUCCGGAUACAAGAAGCUAUUGUUGGGAAGUUUCCAACCUCCCAACUCCUGAAUCUACGCAACCUGCAUGCUGCCUCAGACACUGGCUACUAAUACGAAAACAUCUCUUGUUACCCGUUCUCAGGAUCUUCAUUCCGACUCUCAUGCGUCCGACAGGUGGUCCUCCAAUCCUGGAUUCCCAACCAGCUUCUAACCAUCUCGAUUACAUGAACUAACUGCUGGGAAAAGUUCUCGAACUCCCAAUUCUGAACUUCUCAAUCCAUCCAUCACUGUGCUACUACCAUUUCUUCUCGGAGGCUGCGCACUCAUUCUGGGUCUACGUGUCUCUUAUCCAUGAAUACUCGGAGGGUUCUCCCCCACUUCGAUCCUGCUUACCCCUUGCUGCUUCACACUCAAAAGAGAUCCUGAUCUUCACUACCAUUCCGGAACAUCUACUAGGGAACCCAAGCCUGCCAGGUAGGAAUUUAACCAAUCCAUCCCAAUCACUAACCACUCCGAACUAGUGAAACGAACCAAAUCUCUCUCAACCAUGCUACAGUUACUGCAUCCUCCGAAACCUUCUCCAUAAGAGCACAUCCCCUAACUACCAACCAAUUAUCCGAGGUAUGCAAAUGGCAUAUAACAUAAUCACAAGCAAGCCACACUAUAACACAACACUUAUACCACAAUUUGAUGCAGAACCAUAACAAUAUAAUCAUGACAUAAGCUGACAGAAAAACAAAAGUUACGUACCUUCAUUACUCAGUGCUGCUCGAAUCCCUGCUGAAAUCUACCGGAAAACUCGGCUCUGAGCCGUAGGCACCCUUGCCGGGCCUCGACAACUGCUGGCGGUACUCGAAGUCCCAAGGGCAGGAGCUGGCACCUGCCCUGCUGGAUACAAACUCGGACAGUGGGCCUUCUUGUGGCCCCUCUGACUGCAAUGGAAACAUAACGGAUCAAGCCCCUGGGCGAUGGUAACAACACAGUCUCUGCUAAAAUGACCAAUCUGGCCGCACUUGAAACACCCAGCAUCGCCACCACUUCUACGCCUACACACACCCAUGUGCGUCCUUCCGCACUUCCCGCAUCGACUGCGGCUCUGAUAGUUCCUCGUCCUCAAAUCUGGACCCUUGGGCCUCUUACCCGAACCUGUGGCUACCUGAGUCUCAUCAAUUUUCCUUUUCCCUUCUGACUCCCUGCCCGACUCUCGCUCCUGCGUUACCCCAACGGCAACGCCUGCUAACUGAACAACAGAUGUCUGAUCCUGAAGCCUCGCUAUCAAUCUAUCAGUGAUCCUCACGACCAUGAUGGGCAGAUCCUCGUGAAUGGCUCGCGAAACUUCCUCAACUAUCCAAUCAUGCAAUGGUCUCUCUUGGAGACAGAAUUCCCCACUCACCCCUGCCCCCUGAUGGCAGGAACUAGAAAUGGGAUCUCCCUCCCUGAUGGAUCCCUGAACUCCAUAAGAUUCGGGACCUAGACGAGCCCCAAUCUGUCCUGAAACUAACCCGGCCUUAAAGGCCUCAAGAUGACUGUCCAUGAGCUCCACAAUGGCCUCUCUAACUGAACCGAAAAUCACUGGAGUCUGAUCAAUGAUGUUGCGCGUAAUCUCUGCGGAAAUGAAAUCCCUCAUCUGAUCAUCAAGCUGCCCGGCUCUGAAGCCCGAGCCAGACCCCUCCUUGACACCUGAACUGCUAACUGGUAUCUCGCGCAACGUCACCAUGCUGAAAAUAUAUAACAAAAUCCUGAUCAAUUUACAUACUACUGCUGAGGAAUUUCUCGCAUACUCUACUGGUUCCUUGAUUUUGCCUCGGCCCCUCUUGAAUCGAAUACGGAUCCUCUGCUUUCAGUAGUAUGGGCCCCUACUACCUUCCACAUCUAUCCGUACUUUCCUCAAGAGUCACCUCAACUCCACCAAUUCCCCUUUACUCUUCAACUGAUCUCUGCUACUCUCAUCCUAGGCUUGCCCUAGGGAACUUAUGACUCUACCCAAACAGUCCUCAGCUGCUGAAGGCCUCCUAGUAAUGCCAAUUAGUCACCACCUGAAUACCAUCACAGGCGACGAGGCUCAGAUAAUCCUUCAAGUAAAAGACUCGUCCCUACAACGGUUGGACUCAGACAAGAGCUGCGCAGUAGGGCCAAAUCCAGCACUCUGAGAUUAUUCAACCCUGAUCACAUGUGAUGUGAUGUAUUCACCUAAUAGCUAACUCCCAUCACUCAGAGUCCCACAAAGCACAAAGCAAGCAGCAUUCGGAUAAAGGAAAUAUACUCAAGCAAAUCUAUCCUCAUAACGAAAACUGCACUAGCAUACAAUGCUAAGCUCAUGCUAUCAGGCAUAACCUACACAGGCUAUCCUACUACUGUCUAUUCAAUACUAGCAUGUAAUUCUCAUAAAGCCGAACACAUAAAGCAGGCACAUAAGGCAUCAUCCUAGAUCCUUAGUCCUAUUCUAGCAUGCUGUUGUACUGAAGCUGAAACUGAAACUGAAGCUGAUACUGAUAAUCAUAAUAUAACUUGUAUGGGUAAAUUGGGAGUACUUACUUGAGCUCGGUUGAUUGCAUGCACCACACCUUUUUCUCUUUUCAAAGUUCUUUUUGCUUUUCUAAAACUGUUUUUCAUUCUCCAAAAUUCUUUUUUACAAAAACUGUCUUUUCACAUUUUGAAAACUUUNGGGCCUCGCCCGCUACAACGGCCCCGCCGCUCCAGGCCCCGCCUGGCUUCGAGCCUCGCUCGGAUACAGAUCUGUUUCACUUAGGCCUCGCCUGUCACAGGGCCUCGCCCACUAACAUAUAAUAGCACAUAAACGUAUCACAUAACAUUACAUAAGCUAAACAUAUACUAACAACCCUUGCUCUAAGGCCUCGCCUAUCUCUGGGCCCCGCCCGAGUUCUGCUACUGAUGAGUCAUGGAACCUCGUCCAUACUCCUGCUGAUAGUGAGGUUCGGGCCCAGCCCACCCUCACUCCUUUCCUAACUUGGGCCCCGCCCCUGCUCUGCUGCUACUGAGAUAUGGAACACCAUCCACACUCUGCUAUUGGUGAGAUACGGGACCUCGCCCUCUCUCACCUCCCUACCAGGCACAUACAAGUAUCACACAGACAACAAGUAUAAACUAUCACAUAAACCGCUCCUUGGGCACCCGCCCUCUGUCAUUGGACCUCGUCCAAAUAUCAUACUAGCAUACUGUGCCUAGGGCUAACCCCCGGGUCUUCUACUCAUAACUACAUGGGCCGGCAUUGUGGCCGUAGACCCAUUCAUACAAAGGGAAACUCACCUGAUAUUGCCGAACUGCCGCUGCUAACCCCUUCGACCGCUACCUGACCGCUAACUCCGAAUUGCUGCUCCGCUAGCUCCCCGAGCUACCAACAACAACCCAACACUUAGUCUAACUGACCUCCAAAGGUUAACCAAGUCAACUCUGGUCAAAGUCGAUGUCCUGGUCAAAGUCAACCCUCCAGGUCAACCCUACUCGCCGAGUCACCCUGCUGACUCGCCGAGUCCAUAAAUCCAGAGUCCUUCCACUCGCGACUCUACUCGCCGAGUCAGCCCCUGACUCGCCGAGUUUACUGAUUCUCGAUUCCUGUCCUGACCAACUCACUGAGUCCUGGCUCGACUCGCUGACUCGAGUCUUAACUCGAAGGGUUUGGGACCACUCGACCUGACUCGCCGAGUCUAAGAACAGACUCGCCGAGCACACGACAAACUUCAUCCAACUCGACGAGUUGUUCAUCCAACUCGCCGAGUUCAUGCCCAUCUUCAUCCGACUCGACGAGCUGUUCAUCCCACUCGUCGAGUUCCUCCUCAUCUUCAAGCUACUCGCCGAGUCCACUCGAAGGACUCGUCGAGUCCACUAAGAUCCACUUACAUGCAGAGGACUUCCGAGUCAUGCAUGAGCUCCAAACUAUAGAUCUACCCUCCCCAAGCCUAUUUCCCACGUAAAGUUGCAACCUUUACGUGUAGAGAGUGAGAUCUAGGCAAAAUACAUCCAUAGCUAGGGUUUAGGACCAAGAGACUCCAAUUCCCACCCAAUGGCUGAUACUUUAUGGGAUUACAUACCAAAAUAAACAUGGAUCUGAGGUAGCAACCUCAGAUCUGGACCUCAAGCUCAAGAUUGGUCUUAAACAUGGCUUAAAAGCCCCAAAACUCAUAACCAAGGAAAAAUAUGGAGGAGAGAAACGAAUUGAUACCUUCCAAUGCUCUGAAAUGCUUCCCAAACUUCAGAUCCAAAGCCACUCCCUGAUGCUUCAAGGAUUCCCACUCCUUCUUCUUCCUUAAACCCACUCAAAAAUGGCUAGAAGCUUGAAUAAACACAAUGGGGGCUUAAGGUGCGGCGUUCUGGGUGCAAGAGACUGUAAAGGAGCCCUAGGAAGAAGGUUAAGAUGCUUAAAUAGGCUCCAAGCCCCAGAUUUAGGGUUUUCCUCGCACAGACCAGACUCGCCGAGUCCACUUGGCCGACUCGUCGAGUUGGUCACUUUCUUAUCGACCCGGAUCCCGCUCCGACUCGCCGAGUCCUUCCUUUGACUCGUCG